rnacentral:lncRNA from 1 species
GCGGCACAUGAAAUCCUUCAGUCACGGGUGCCACGAGCUCUUUAUAGUAAAUUUUCAUACGCAACUUGCGGUCUGAUUUAAAAAAAAUGUGAUUACAUGUAUUGUACUAACUCCCACCAGAAUUUGCUUGCCUGCAUAGAUGAUAUUGCAAGCAUUUAUCACACGAGUGAGUUCUUAUAGGACAAACUACAAACACUUGGCAGCCAUUCUCAUUAGUUUGCAAAAAUAUAAAUCACCCUUUUGCAUUUCAUGUCAAUGGGCUUAGAAAACAUUCUUGAUAACCCCAAUAUUAUAACUUGAGAUUAUUUUUUUUUCAAAAUUAG